GAAAAACCUUUCUUAAAAAACAUAGGGACGUAAUACAUAAAAGACCUAAGGACUAAUUGGCAAAAUACACAAAAAGUACAUUAGACCUAGACCUAUAGAUAGGAAUAACGCCUAAAAUCCAAAGGGGGGACUGCACACUGAUCAGCCGCAACAGUGCAAAAGAGGAGACCCCUCUCUAAAUUUCAUCUCCUUGGUGACCCCCUCCCCCCAGAAAUCAACCCGCAAGAGAACGCCCAAAGCUCUCUAUCUCUGUCUAUCGUCGGAAUUCACCACCGGUCGACCACCCCAUAAACACGACCACUCUUUGACUUCAUCUUCUUCAGCCGUGUUCAUCGGAGAAACCCUAGCCAUGGACAUCACCUAAACUCCAAUCCCGAGUCAGACCCGGCUGAAUACAAUACUUGUGGUCGCUUGUGCAUUUUCUGGCGAUUUUUUAGUCCAAGACAACACUUGAACACAAAAAUUCCAUCGGAGUUCCUAUUUUUCCGGCGAGGUCGUCGAUUUGUCGAGGUUGUCCAUUCGAGGUCAUAUUCGGUGAGUCAAGCUUAACUAAGGUCUGUUUUCUUUUAGUUGUCGAAUUUGGAUCUUCAUUUUUGCACCUCAUCUUGUAUUGAUUCGUGUCACGCUUGAAUAAAUAUAGAUGUAUUCAUAUGGUCUUGUAUAUUCAUUUGGCUCUUUGGUUUUGGAAACUUUGGAUUCAAAUUUUGCAUAUUCUGCUUAUUUGCUUGUUAAUUGAUUCUUAAUCAACAAUAAAGUGUAGAAACAGAAAUUUGGAAAGUGGCUUUUCUAUUUUAAAUUUCAAUUGAAGGCCUCUUUGUUGGAUGAAUUUGGAAAUAUGUUUCGUUCAGCUGGUUCUCUUCCGCAUGGAGGUUGUACUGUGAAUUUUCAUUUUGCUAUAUGUUUUAAGGUUGAGGCGGAAUAUAAGGGAUAUUGACGGCUCUUAUCAUAUUUUGAUCUACCAUUUUUAUUUUGAUUAUUUAGCUUUAUUUUGACUAUUUGUUGGCCCCGUGUGUUUUAGAUACCAUAGUAGUCUAGUACAAUUUGUUUGCAUUAGCCUGUAGGGAAUGAGAAGGAUCGAAUCCACUAGUAUUAAAUUAAACUGCAUGCUUUAGAUAUCGGGCUCGGCCUAAUAAGAAUAAAAAAUAAACAUGGGCAUGACUAUUAGAAAUCAAGGCGUGCCAUUUAGUUGAAUUUUCCAUGGCCCUCACAAAGUUGAAAGUGUGUAGUUGCUUUAUACGCGCUAUUUAAAAAUUACUUUUCUAAACUCGGGUGUGUAUUUCAUGUGACCCAAAUCCAAAUCUCAACAACAUUAAAUAAAAUGUGUCUCGGACCGCGGGUGCAUUUCAUGUGGCGUGGUCCCAAGACGUGUUUUAGAUGGCGUUGAAAUCUUCCCUAAAAAUAAUUAAAAGCGGUUAAUAAAUUAAAAUCUGCCAUAGGUUAAAACGUGUUUAAAAUCAGAUAAAUAGGCCAAUUAUAAAAGUUGAGCGGUCGUGCUAGAACCACGGAACCCAGAAAUGCCUAACACCUUCUCCCGAGUUAACAAAAUUCCUUACCUGGAUUUCUGUGUUCGUAGACUAUAUAACAGAGUCAAUCUUUCCUCGAUUCGGGAUUUAAAAUCGGUGACUUGAGACACCAUAAAUUAUCCCAAGUGGCGACUCUGAAUAAACAAAAUAACCCCAUUUCGAUUGUCACUUAAAUUGGAAAAACUCCCUUAUACCCUUCCAGGUGUAGGAAAAAGGAGGUGUGACAGCUCUGGCGACUCUACUGGGGAUCGAACCUAGAAUCUCUGGUUCAGGGUUCAAGAAUUCGAGCUUAGUAUAAUUGUUAUAUUUGGCUUUAUUUAUAAUAUGGUUUUAUUUACAUGUUUGGGCUUAAUGUGCUAAAUAUUGCUUUUUACCGCUUUGAUAUUGUUGAACUGUAUAUAAAUUGAUACGAAACCUUCCUCUCUCUGAGUCUUCUAAAUCAUCUAAGAAGUGUGCACUUCGUGUGACUUCUCUUCUGUUAGAGUCAUAUCCCAAUUUUAGAAUGAGGUUCGGACAAGUUGCAAAGCCGGUGAAGCUUCUGUAUUCUCGGUACGCUGCCCCCCCUCCCCCCACGGUUCGAGUUGUCCGCUUGGGUAUACAAGUCUAGAACAACAUACUCAGGUUUUGAACUUAGAAUAACUCAGCCUCAUGCCGGAUCCCUAGUAGGAACAUUUGUUUGCAUCAUGUGCAUCUGACUUUGGGGACUCAAUACAAAGGUUGGGUCCGUCUAGGACAGGUGUGCCCAAACAAUAAAAGAUCAUCCUGAUGCAUCCUAUGUGCUACAUGUUGCAAUUUUCAAGGGUAAAAGGGUCAUUUGGCGGACCAAUGAUAGCUGAGGGCAAAUGAAAAAAGAAAAAUAAGGAAAAAAAGAGAGGGUGAAGUGUGAAAAUAAAGCAAGUAGGGUCCAGUUAUGUUUUCUGUCACAUUUUUGCUAAGAAAAAAACCAAAAAAAAAAACAGGAAAAAUUCAAAAAGAUUUUGCACUUUUUCAUCAUUUUUCGAAAAUAAAAAAUAAAAAAAAAGAAUGGGAAAAGAAAAUCCAAAAAGAGUUACAUGUUUCAUCAUUUUUCAAAAAAAGACAAAAAAAAUUAUUUUCUCUAAAUUAGUUUUUUUUUAAUUCUCGCCCGUAUCCAAUCUGCCCGAACUACGCAUACCUGAUUCUCGUCUUUCGGGGCAUGAUAUGUAGGCAACCCACAUAGGGUCCGGUAUUCCUAGUAAAUCUUAGGUUCUUGGCUUUGCAGGGUCUUAGCCAAAUUUUACAUUUUUAUCCACUUUUGGCCACAUAAGUCAUUUUGCAAAAAUAGUCUCAAUCAUGUCUUGUAUGUGUCUAAUAGGGAGUGUUAUUAUCUCACAUAGUGUUGGUUAAAGUUUUCUCAUACAUGUGUAGGUCUACUUACUGGAGUCUGAGCAUGACAUACACCCCGGGACCAUUCAGUGAGGACCGCUUAUUCAGAGUUGCUUAAGGAGAUAUUUUUUUUAUUUUUUAUGUUUUGGGCAUGUUUUUCUUUUUAUGUCGUUUUUUACUUUCUAGUUUUGUACAGUAAUGUCGAGUCUUUUGUUAUUGUACUUUCUUUUAGUAUUUGAAAAAGUGUGUUGUGAAUAAUAAAAAAAAAAGAUAUUGUGCAUUUUUAUAUUUCCGUUAGAAUUUUCUUUAGAAAUACUACUCCUAGAAAUUAAAAAAAAUAAAAAUAAAUUUUGAGGUGUUUUUUCCCUUAGGAAAUUAAUAUUUAGAACUCAAAAAAAAUUGCUUUUAUAUUUCCCUUAGGAUACUAGGACUAAAAACUCAAAAACAAAAAUAC
rnacentral:lncRNA from 1 species